GUAUUUGUGUCUAUAUA
rnacentral:tRNA from 1 species